rnacentral:misc_RNA from 1 species
GAUGAAGAACGUAGCGAAAUGCGAUAAGUAAUGUGAAUUGCAGAAUUCAGUGAAUCAUCGAAUCUUUGAACGCACAUUGCGCCCAUUAGCAUUCUAGUGGGCAUGCCUGUUCGAGCGUCAUUUCAACCCUUAAGCCCUGUUGCUUAGCGUUGGGAGCCUACAGUACUGUAGCUCCCCAAAGUUAGUGGCGGAGUCGGUUUCGCACUCUAGACGUAGUAAAUUUUUCUCGUCUGUAGUUGAGCCGGUCCCCUGCCGUAAAACACCCAAUUUAUCAAGGUUGACCUCGGAUCAGGUAGGAAUACCCGCUGAACUUAAGCAUAUCAAUAAGCGGAGGA